rnacentral:rRNA from 1 species
GGCCUUUAGCACAACAAGUAUUAAAGGUCCCGCCUGCCCAGUGACUCACUUUCAACGGCCGCGGUACUCUAACCGUGCAAAGGUAGCGUAAUCACUUGCCCCCUAAAUAGGGGCUCGUAUGAAUGGCUAGAUGAGGGCUCAACUGUCCCCUAGGACACCCCAAUGAACCUGCUCUCCCAGUACAAAAGCUGAGAUAACCACAUAAGACGAGAAGACCCUGUGGAGCUUUUAAACACACUAUCAAGCUACCCACAGCCCAUGAUAGCAACUUUAAGUUGGGGCGACUACGGAGAAAUACAGAACCUCCAUGAAAAAACUAAAACCAGCCCUAGACUAACACACCAAAGGCACCUAACCCUCUGACCCAGUAUAACUGAACACCGGACCAAGUUACCCCAGGGAUAACAGCGCCAUCCCCCUCAAGAGUCCAUAUCGCCAGGGGGGUUUACGACCUCGAUGUUGGAUCAGGACACCCCGGUGGUGUAGCCGCUGCCAAUGGUUCGUUUGUUCAACGACUAAUGUCCUACGUG